rnacentral:rRNA from 1 species
UACGAAGGGUGCUAGCGUUGUUCGGAAUUACUGGGCGUAAAGCGCGCGUAGGCGGCGUAACAAGUCAGGGGUGAAAGCCUGGAGCUCAACUCCAGAAUUGCCUUUGAAACUGUUAUGCUAGAGUGUCGGAGGGGAUAGCGGAAUUGCUAAUGUAGAGGUGAAAUUCGUAGAUAUUAGCAGGAACACCGGUGGCGAAGGCGGCUAUCUGGACGACAACUGACGCUGAGGCGCGAAAGCGUGGGGAUCAAACAGG